rnacentral:lncRNA from 1 species
CUGACUGUCCCUCUGGUGUGAAACAAUAGGAAAGACUGAAUACAAACAUCAAGGGAGGCCCCCAGAUGUGAAUAAUAGCACUGAGGUGCUCUGAGGAUUUGGGAAGGAACUUGGCUUGGAUACAAGGACAGUGGAGACAACAGAAGAAGCAGAACCUAAUGGGUGUCUUAUCUGCUAAAGAUGGAAAAAAUCCAUGGCAAAGGCAGCAGGCUCUCAGAGCUGGCAAAGCUGUGUUCUGCCUGUGGACUAAAGGGAAAACUCCUUCAUUCACUGAACAGCAUCCCUGCACUCCAAGUUUUAGUGUGUUUUUCACGCCGGUGGGCUGCCGGGCGGGUCCGGGUGCCCUGUUCCAGGCGGCCCCACGAGAGGGCAGCCGGGACACGCCGCUCUCAGUCCCGGGCUCCGCUGCUUGUCCCGGCUCACUUCGGCUCCGAGGGGCUUCAGCUGCUUCAUCCCGUCCUUCCCCAGGUGAGGAUGCUCCGUUUGAGUGCUCACCUGCAUCUCUGCCCGCUAAAACCCGCGGUUCCUUGGUGGGCAACCAAAACUGAGCAGGGUGCCCUGCUCUUGUGCGUGUCACCAAGAGCAACAGCAGCUCCCCAAUAAAGCCGGCAGGCUCAGAGGAAUAUCCGAGCUUGCUUAGGCUAAAACAGAAAGACUGAG